rnacentral:lncRNA from 1 species
UUUAUUUCUCUACAGUGUGUAGUCUUCUUCUUCGUCAAUUUGGUUUUGGGUGGUGAGUAUAGCAAAAAUAUAUAUACAUGUUUAUAGUUAUUUCCAGGUUCAAUGUUCUCUUCUUAACUUGAUACUCUCUUUUAUUUUUUCGCAUGAUGCCAAUGGAUUUACCUCCUCCUUAAGAGCUUAGUUUUUCCCAAAAAUGGAGAAUCAGAUCACGGUCAACAAGACAAACAACCCAGGUAACAAUAACUAUAAAGCAUAAUUUUGAAAUAUUACUCUUUUCUAACUUUUAACAAAAAAAUGAUUAUGACUAUUUACUGUGUAAAUAGAUACAAAACAUCAGACUUUAAUUUGAUUUGGAAUACAAACGUGAGUAUUUAUAUUCAGUUUACCAUAAAAAUUAUGUUUAAAGCUUUUUUCUACUAGAAUUUAUGUAUAGAACAAAAGAAAAGUUAGGGCAUCUUACUAUUGAGGAAUUUAAAAAUGGUAUAGUUGCUGUAGUGGGAAUUAGAUUAAGGUCAAUUGUUAAAAGAUGUAUUAUAGUUAAUUGUAUUUUCUAAGAUAGAAAUAUAUCCAAAUUUCUAUAAUUUUUAUUUUUAUCCACAACUAUUUAGGUUUAUUUUCAGAUUUAAAUCAAGUUUUCUUUUACAAACUUCCUAUGCUGUUUUAAAAACUACCUAAAACAGAAAAGAACUAAUAUUUUAAAUAAAAUAAUUUUCGGAAACUUUUAAAUAAUAAUUUAAGAACAAAAUUUUCUUUUACACACACAAACUAAAUUUGUAAAUUUUAAUAUUAAAACAGAUUAAAAAUCAAAAUAAGUAAGAUUAAAAUCAAAAUUUUAAUUGUAAAAAAUCAAAAUUUUAAUCUUAAAAUUCAAUAUUUAUCUCAAUAGUUUUGGAAACUAUUGCAAACAUGUAACCAUUUUAAAAAUAAUAUCAAAAUUAUUGUUUAACCCCUCCCCCUUUCAAUCUAUUUGAUUUAAUAUGAAUACACCACAGUUCAUCUAUAAAAUAUUUGACAUAAAAUAAUUUAAUUAUGAUUGAAAAUUAUAACAUAAUCAAAUAACUUUAAAUACAGAAAAUUGAUCCGUGCGUAUGCACGGACGGUAAUACUAGUAAUAAUUAAUUCCCCGAUAUCUUCUUUUUCAAAAAAAAAAACAUUAAUUCGAUGAAAUUAAAAUUAUAUUUUCGAUAGAGGAAAAAAAAACUAUGAACAAAGAAAAAUCAUGAUUUGCAUUAUUGAUUAAAUCACUCAUCUUCUUCUUCCUGCAGAUCUGAUAAAGCAAAACAACUCCUAGACUUGAAUGCUCUGUUCUUGAACGAUGAGUUCCUUGCAAUAACAACUCCUCUUGUUCCUCCUCGCUCUUCAUCGUCUCCUUCCUCUUCAUCAUCA